GAUGAACGCUGGCGGCGUGCCUAAUACAUGCAAGUCGAGCGAACAGACGAGGAGCUUGCUCCUCUGACGUUAGCGGCGGACGGGUGAGUAACACGUGGAUAACCUACCUAUAAGACUGGGAUAACUUCGGGAAACCGGAGCUAAUACCGGAUAAUAUAUUGAACCGCAUGGUUCAAUAGUGAAAGACGGUUUUGCUGUCACUUAUAGAUGGAUCCGCGCCGCAUUAGCUAGUUGGUAAGGUAACGGCUUACCAAGGCAACGAGGCGUAGCCGACCUGAGAGGGGGAUCCGCCACACUGGAACUGAGACACGGUCCAGACUCCUACGGGAGGCAGCAGUAGGGAAUCUUCCGCAAUGGGCGAAAGCCUGACGGAGCAACGCCGCGUGAGUGAUGAAGGUCUUCGGAUCGUAAAACUCUGUUAUUAGGGAAGAACAAAUGUGUAAGUAACUAUGCACGUCUUGACGGUACCUAAUCAGAAAGCCACGGCUAACUACGUG
rnacentral:rRNA from 1 species